rnacentral:lncRNA from 1 species
GGGAAGCUCGCGGGGCUGCAGCCCGGCGGAGGCCCCGGGCCUGGUGUUCCGCACGUUCUAAACCGCCUGUCCCCGAGGAAGUCGGGCAGGGUCGGGCCGGACUCAGCGCCGCUGGCGGGAGCGCCGUCCGCCCCGAGGACCCUGCGGGCCCGGAAGCCGAGACAGGGCCGCCCACGUCAGCGCCUGGCGCGGGCCCGAACGUAAAUGGCGCUCCUCCGCGCCGCAGCCGCAGCCGCCCCGCUCCCUUCCCGCUCCGCCAGCUGCCGCCCUCCCGCGCUCGCUUCUCGCCCCGCGGCCUGGCCCGUGCGCCUCCGAGGCUGGCCAGGGGCACCGAGGCCGCGGGCCCCCCAUCGCCCCCACCCGAGCCCUGAUUUACCGUCCGAGAGCCGGCGGCACAUGGGACCCCGAGAGGAGAAGCGCGCCUGCCCCAGUGCGUCCCCAGGCGGGGGAGCCCCGACUCCUGGAGGGACCGCGUCCUGCCCGGCCCGGGAAGUUCAGGGCUGGAGAACCCCUUCCCCGACCCCAUUUCUCUUUUAACAAGAGUAGGGUUUGUAGCUAACCAACGUCCUGACAGCUCAGCUCUGCUUUCCCUUUAAGCAUUAAUAUCAAAGCCCUGCCUGCUACCGGUGAAGCCCCGACCCGGGAGGGCCCGAAAGUCCCUUCAGGGAGAGGCCGCACUGGGCCUGCUCACCCAGGGGCUGCCCCUGCAGACUCUCCCGAGGGGCCCAGGGAUAUUCCUCGCGCCGCGAGUGGACGCUUCCAUCCACCCCAUGGGGAGGGCCUCUGCGCGUGGCUACUCUGAGCCCUCUGGAAUGCCGAGAUAGUUGCAUAAUUUCAGAAACCACGGCAUGGAGACGGAAUGAUGCAGACUCCUAUCCGCGAGAUACCUGCUGUAAUUUCGCUGUGGUUCGUGAGGACGCGUCCUGGGCUGCCCUGAGAAGCCUACGUCUCCCCUUCGAGGCCCGGGAAGACCUCCAACCCCGCUGACAAUGCUGGGCCCUCAGCCAGACCUGCCCUGCGUGCCACGUUCUGUUCUAAGAUCGGGCUGCCGAGCUGUGGCCUGGAGGAAACCUGGCAGGUGUCACCAGAGCUUUGGGGAGGGUGAGGCCCUGUCGGGGAAGCCCAGUGGGAGUCAUGAAGGAGGGAACACGUGUGGAGCCCUUGUAGGGGGAGGGGCAGCCCUGCAGAGAUCUAAGAAAAAAUUCCAGAAAAAUGAGCAGCAACCUCCAAGGCCAGGCAUCGGUGCAGGGGACAAGGGGUCGUAGCUGGAGGGGCCUAGGUGAGGCUGCCGGGAAGGGACGAUGUGGUUGGUGGAGUGCACAGGCAGGGACCUCACUGGACUUUCCUGUCUGCUCAGCAUGGACAGGCAGCCCAGGAGAAGGCAGCACGUGGCCGGGUGCAGGGACGUACCACCCCCACUUCCCCAGGGGAGCUGGGGUCAGACGAGUCCCAGGCACUCCAUCCUCUGCAGCAAGUCAGGUUGUGAUUUACUAGGGGGUGGUGAAUAUAAUGGAGAGACUUCUGGGGAGGAAUUCCUGGCUCCCGCGUGGACUUGCAGAGCUCAACAGGCAGCCACGUGGCUGAGUGUCCAGCAAACAUCACAUAAGGCUUUGGGUCCUGCAGGUGGGGCUGCCAUGAGCAGCAAGCUCAGUCCAGAAGAACAGUUCCUCUCCAGGAUCCACUUCCUGCGCACUUUUAUGUGCAGUGUAGCUGGAGCAGAGCUCCCCGGAAUUCCACAGGCAACUGAGAACGGAGAGGGAUGCAGGCCAGCCAGGGAUCCAGCGUCUUCCCCAUCGUCACUCUCCAUGGCCUCCGUCUACACACAGUGUUCGUCUGCACAGCUUGUCAGCGCGUUAUCAUGACUUCUAUUUGGCACCGGCCCGUCUGUCCACUGUCCUGGCUUGUUCCAAGCGCUGCCUUCUCCAACUGGGGUCCUGGCUGCAGAGCUGUCUGCUCCCCACGUUGGGCAACUCCAGCCAAGAUUCCUACACCCAAAUGUGACCGUGUUGCUCACGAAGAAGGCUCAGCUUUGCGUGUGCCCAGCCGUGUGCACAGCUCGUCCCAACUCCUGCGGGUGGCACCUGCCUCUCCCACCUCCAGUCUUUCCCCUGUGAUGAGCAGAUGACCACCGCCCUCCAGGGUCAGCGUUUGGCUGUUUGUGUGCCUGCCCACCCGCCUCCCUGUGCCUGGGCCUGCCCUGUGCCUGCACACAGGAGUGGCUCAUGGCGUUUGCCCUACACGGAUGGGCUGUCCUGGGAGCUACUGGACAGUCACCUUGGUGGGAAUGCCAGAGGCAUGGGCAUUAGGUCCCCCCGGCCAGCCUCCGUUGCCACAUGGGCUAUUUUUGUCCAUCGCGUGGGACAACCUAGUAUUGGGGGAAAACUCAGUCCACUCUAAAGAAGCAUCGGCGUUUUGGAUGGACGAAUGCUGCUUCAUGCGACUCCAUGUCAAUGGACUAUUUUAUUCAACUCGGGUAUUUAUGAGUGUCUCCUCUGUGCCAGCCACGUGUGAAAGAAGAACUCCAAGUUACUGGACACCAGGACAAACCAGAGUUUUAGGAGUUUUCUACAUAUUAAGGAUACUAAUUCCUGAUCACAUACACAACUUGCAACUAUUUUCUCCCAUCUAAACCAGCUGGAACCCUCUGGAAAGUUCCAGAACCACCAGCAUCAGGGUGGCCAAGACGUGGGCACUGCCAGACAGGGGACCAUGUGGGGCCAGAAGAAAUUAUAGGACAUAGCAGGUCUCAGACAUGACCAGAGACUGCUGCCAGUGGUGGAAGGCUUCCCUGAGCGUGAUGACCUGGCCACUCCACAGGAAGCCUCCACACCCAAGGUUAAAGGUGUCCAGCUGCGGCCAGGGUUCCGGGGUACCUGUGGAUCCCGUGACGUGGCACCGAAGAUCUGAGCUGUGCAGAGGAGCUGCACCACAGAGGCCAGGUUUCCGUGUGGAGAACGCGCAUAAUGGGAGGCCUUGAGCUGAGACCCAGCCCCCGACCCCCACCCCCACCCACCAGCAGGGGAUUCUCCUCAGGGCCUCACAGAGCACCACGUGGUGUCAUUGCUGGUCCUGCCAUAGCUCCCAGGACCAAUGCUUCCCAGAACUCCCUGCUACAUAAAUACAUCCGGUCCCUUUCCCUCGAGAUCUUGAAAAGUGAAGACUUCACUUGGCAGUAACGGUAAAACAUUUCAACAUGGUAAGUUGUCAUUUUAUGCACACAUGGAAUGGUGGCCCAUAAAGGGCCUGGGGGUCCAAUAUCCUACAUACUGGACUCCUCAUUAGUCCUCUGAGUCUUCUGUUCCCCAACACACUGCAUUGGGAUCAAACUGAAUUUGCAGCCAGGCAUCAUAGCUCAUGCCUGUAAUUCCAGCACUUUGGGAGGCUGAGAUAGAGGAUCACUUGAGGCCAGGAGUCCAAGACCAGCCUGGGGAACAUAACGAGACCUUGCCUCUAAAAAAAAAAUUUUAAAAAUUAGCCUGGUGUAGUGGGCAUGCCUAUAGUCUUAGCUACUAGGGAGGCUGAGGUAGGAGGAUCACUUGAGCCCAGGAGUUCAAAGUUAUAGUGAGCUAAGAGUGCAUCACAGCACUCCAGCCCGGGCAACAGAGCAAGACCCUGAUUCUAAACACACCUAUACACACACACACACACACCCCACCACCAACAACAAUGAAAAACCCUGAAUUUACAUCCUUCACGAUAAAGUGAUAGCUUCUGUGACAUUUGCACAGAAUUCUGAGUAAAGUUGCCUUUUCAGUCACAUCUGUUAAUGUUGACAAGACAUAAUCUAAAAAUCAAGAGGAUGAGAAUAGAAGGACCACUUCCCUUCUAGUGACCUCCUGGACCACACCAAGCACCAACAUCAUGAGGAUCCAAGGAAUCUCUGGAAAGUUCUAUCUCCAGAAGAUACCCUGAGAACACUUAGGCCCUCCCAGACCACAUGAAGAACCAACGUCAUAAGGAUCCAAGGCAUCCCUGGAAAGUUCCUUCUCCAGAAGAAGGAUCCAAGGCAUCUCUGGAAAGUUCCAUCUCCAGAAGAUUCCCUGAGAACACUUAGGCCCUCCCAGACCACACCAAGCACCAACAUCAUGAGGAUCCAAGGCGUCCCUGGAAAGUUCCCUCUCCAGAAGAUUCCCUGAGAAGACUUAGGCAUGAUCUUAAAUAAAUAUUCCUGUUGUUUAAAA